CAAGGCUUGACAUACACCGGAAACUUCCAGAGAUGGUUGCCCCGCAAGGUCGGUGUACAGGUGGUGCAUGGUUGUCGUCAGCUCGUGUCGUGAGAUGUUGGGUUAAGUCCCGCAACGAGCGCAACCCUCGUCCUAUGUUGCCAGCACGUGAUGGUGGGGACUCAUAGGAGACUGCCGGGGUCAACUCGGAGGAAGGUGGGGAUGACGUCAAAUCAUCAUGCCCCUUAUGUCUUGGGCUUCACGCAUGCUACAAUGGCCGGUACAAAGGGCUGCGAUACCGCGAGGUGGAGCGAAUCCCAAAAAGCCGGUCUCAGUUCGGAUUGGGGUCUGCAACUCGACCCCAUGAAGUCGGAGUCGCUAGUAAUCGCAGAUCAGCAACGCUGCGGUGAAUACGUUCCC
rnacentral:rRNA from 1 species